CCCUUAGAUGUUCGGGGCCGCACGCGCGCUACACUGAAUGAAUCAGCGAGUGUAUGUCCUAGGCCGAAAGGUCCGGGUAACCCGUUGAACCUCAUUCGUGAUUGGGAUAGGGACUUGCAAUUGUUUCCCUUGAACGAGGAAUUCCCAGUAAGCGCAAGUCAUCAGCUUGCGCUGAUUACGUCCCUGCCCUUUGUACACACCGCCCGUCGCUACUACCGAUUGAAUGGUUUAGUGAGAUCUCUGGAUUGACGCUGGCUAGGGGGCGACCCUUGGCCAGACUGCUCGAGAAACUGCUCAAACUUGAUCAUUUAGAGGAAGUAAAGGUCGUAACA
rnacentral:rRNA from 1 species